rnacentral:rRNA from 1 species
AGAGUUUGAUCCUGGCUCAGGAUGAACGCUGGCGGUCUGCUUAACACAUGCAAGUCGAACGGGCUCUUUCGGGAGCUAGUGGCGGACGGGUGAGUAACGCGUGAGAAUCUGCCAAAAGGACUGGGACAACCACUGGAAACGGUGGCUAAUACCGGAUGAGCCGCAACGUAAAAGAGGAAACUCGCCUUUUGAGGAGCUCGCGUCUGAUUAGCUAGUUGGUGAGGUAAGAGCUCACCAAGGCAUCGAUCAGUAGCUGGUCUGAGAGGAUGAUCAGCCACACUGGGACUGAGACACGGCCCAGACUCCUACGGGAGGCAGCAGUGGGGAAUUUUCCGCAAUGGGCGAAAGCCUGACGGAGCAAGACCGCGUGAGGGAGGAAGGCUCUUGGGUUGUAAACCUCUUUUGUCAGGGAAGAACACAAUGACGGUACCUGAAGAAUCAGCAUCGGCUAACUCCGUGCCAGCAGCCGCGGUAAUACGGGGGAUGCAAGCGUUAUCCGGAAUUAUUGGGCGUAAAGCGUCCGCAGGUGGCUAAUCAAGUCUGCUGUCAAAGGUUGGGGCUUAACCCCAAAAAGGCAGUGGAAACUGAGAAGCUAGAGUGCAGUAGGGGUAGAGGGAAUUCCCGGUGUAGCGGUGAAAUGCGUAGAGAUCGGGAAGAACAUCGGUGGCGAAAGCGCUCUACUGGACUGCAACUGACACUCAGGGACGAAAGCUAGGGGAGCGAAUGGGAUUAGAUACCCCCGUAGUCC